CACCGCCUGGGGAGUACGACCGCAAGGUUAAAACUCAAAUGAAUUGACGGGGACCCGCACAAGUAGUGGAGCAUGUGGUUUAAUUCGAAGAUACGCGCAGAACCUUACCAACACUUGACAUGUUCGUCGCGACUUUAAGAGAUUAAAGUUUUCGGUUCGGCCGGACGAAACACAGGUGCUGCAUGGCUGUCGUCAGCUCGUGUCGUGAGAUGUUGGGUUAAGUCCCGCAACGAGCGCAACCCUCACUUUUAGUUGCCAUCAUUUAGUUGGGCACUCUGAAAGAACUGCCAGUGAUAAGCUGGAGGAAGGUGGGGAUGACGUCAAGUCCUCAUGGCCCUUACGUGUUGGGCUACACACGUGCUACAAUGGUAUUUACAACAGGAAGCAAGACGGCGACGUUCAGCAAAUCCUUAAAAAAUACCUCAGUUCGGAUUGCACUCUGCAACUCGAGUGCAUGAAGCUGGAAUUACUAGUAAUCGUGGAUCAGCGUGCCACGGUGAAUGCGUUCCCGGGUCUUGUACACACCGCCCGUCACACCAUGGGAGUUGGUUCUACCUUAAGGCAAGGUUUAAUACCCUUGACCACGGUAUAGUCAGCGACUGGGGUGAAGUCGUAACAAGGUAGCCGUAGGGGAACCUGCGGCUGGAUUACCUCCUUUCUAAGGAUGAAUAAAAAAAAUUUUUUUUAUUCUAAAUAAUAUACAUAGGCUAAUGUUGACCGUCCUCAUUUCUCUUCUUAAACAGUGUUUCUCUUGCAUGGGGGCCGGUAGCUCAGUUGGUUAGAGCACACCCUUGAUAAGGGUGGGGUCGAAAGUUCGAGUCUUUCUCGGCCCACCAAUUAAAGAUUAAGGGGGGAUUAGCUCAGCUGGGAGAGCGCCUGAUUUGCAUUCAGGAGGUCAGCGGUUCGAUCCCGCUAUCCUCCACCAAAAACACUUAGCUAUAUAAAUCGUAAAUAAAAAUAAUAAUUAAUAUCAAUAUCUAUAUCCGAACAUUAGUAAUGUUAUUAGCUAAUGUUCAAAAUAAAAAUUUGAUUCAACACAGAAAUUUUUUUCUG
rnacentral:sRNA from 1 species